AUUGAACGCUGGCGGCAGGCUUAACACAUGCAAGUCGAGCGAGCGGCGGACGGGUGAGUAAUGUCUGGGAACCUGCCUGAUGGAGGGGGAUAACUACUGGAAACUGUAGCUAAUACCGCAUACCGUCAUAUCAGCCCAGAUGGGAUUAGCUAGUUGGUGGGGUAAUGGAUCACCUAGGCGACGAUCCCUAGCUGGUCUGAGAGGAUGACCAGCCACACUGGAACUGAGACACGGCCCAGACUCCUACGGGAGGCAGCAGUAGGGAAGUUUCGGCAAUGGGCGAAAGCCUGACGGAGCAACGCCGCGUGAGUGAUGAAGGCCUUCGGGUUGUAAAGCACGUUCAGCGAGGAGGCGUUACUCGCAGAAGAAGCACCGGCGAACUACGUGCCAGCAGCCGCGGUAAUUC
rnacentral:rRNA from 1 species